UACGAAGGGGGCUAGCGUUGUUCGGAAUCACUGGGCGUAAAGGGCGCGUAGGCGGCUUUGUAAGUCGGGGGUGAAAGCCUGUGGCUCAACCACAGAAUUGCCUUCGAUACUGCAUGGCUUGAGACCGGAAGAGGUAAGUGGAACUGCGAGUGUAGAGGUGAAAUUCGUAGAUAUUCGCAAGAACACCAGUGGCGAAGGCGGCUUACUGGUCCGGUUCUGACGCUGAGGCGCGAAAGCGUGGGGAGCAAACAGGAUUAGAAACCCGCGUAGUCC
rnacentral:rRNA from 1 species